AACGAACGCUGGCGGCAGGCCUAACACAUGCAAGUCGAGCGAGCAUUUCGGUGCUAGCGGCGGACGGGUGAGUAACGCGUGGGAACGUGCCCUUUUCUGCGGAAUAGUCCUGGGAAACUGGGGGUAAUACCGCAUACGCCCUUUUGGGGAAAGAUUUAUCGUAGAAGGAUCGGCUCGCGUUGGAUUAGGUAGUUGGUGGGGUAAUGGCCCACCGAGCCGACGAUACAUAGCUGGUUUGAGAGGAUGAUCAGCCACACUGGGACUGAGACACGGCCCAGACUCCUGCGGAAGGCAGCAGUGGGGAAUCUGAGACAAUGGGGGCGACCCUGAUCUUGCCAUGCCGCGUGAGUGAUGAAGGCCUUAGGGUUGUAAAGCUCUUUCAGCUGUGAAGAUAAUGACGGUACCAGCAGAAGAAGCCCCGGCUAACUCCGUG
rnacentral:rRNA from 1 species